rnacentral:misc_RNA from 1 species
UCCUCCUUACAGAGGCAGUUUGGUCCGAGUUCCCGACUUGACUCGCUGGCAACAGACCAUGAGGGUUGCGCUCGUUGCGGGACUUAACCCAACAUUUCACAACACGAGCUGACGACAGCCAUGCACCACCUGUGAAAGUGCCCCGAAGGGAGGAUGUGUUUCCACACCGGUCACUCACAUGUCAAGCCCAGGUAAGGUUCUUCGCGUCGCGUCGAAUUAAGCAACAUGCUCCGCCGCUUGUGCGGGCCCCCGUCAAUUCCUUUGAGUUUUAGCCUUGCGGCCGUACUUCCCAGGCGGGGCACUUAAUGCGUUAGCUACGGCACGGAGCCCGUCGAUCGAGCCCCACACCUAGUGCCCAACGUUUACGGCGUGGACUAC